GAGAGUAGGAGAAUGGGGUUGUGUAGGAGGGAGAGGGAUGGCAAAAAGGGAGGAACUGUGGAAUGAAAUUGACUGAAUUUUGCUAAGUACAUAUAUGAAUAUACCAUAAUGAAUUCUACAUUUACAUAUAUAUAUAUAUAUAUAUAUAUAUAUAUAAAUGUAGAAUUCAUUAUGGUAUAUUCAUAUAUGUACUUAGCAAAAUUCAGUCAAUUUCAUUCCACAGUUCCUCCCUUUUUGCCAUCCCUCUCCCUCCUACACAACCCCAUUCUCCUACUCUCC
rnacentral:miRNA from 1 species